rnacentral:rRNA from 1 species
AUUGAACGCUGGCGGCAGGCCUAACACAUGCAAGUCGAGCGGAUGAAGGGAGCUUGCGCCUGGAUUCAGCGGCGGACGGGUGAGUAAUGCCUAGGAAUCUGCCGGGUAGUGGGGGAUAACGUCCGGAAACGGGCGCUAAUACCGCAUACGUCCUGAGGGAGAAAGUGGGGGAUCUUCGGACCUCACGCUAUCAGAUGAGCCUAGGUCGGAUUAGCUAGUUGGUGGGGUGAGGGCCUUCCAAGGCGACGAUCCGCAACUGGUCUGAGAGGGUGAUCAGUCACCUUGGAACGGGGCCACGGUCCAGACUCCUACGGGAGGGAGCAGUCGGGAAUAUUGGACAAUGGGCGAAAGCCUGAUCCAGCCAUGCCGCGUGUGUUAAGAAGGCCUUCGGAUUGUAAAGACCGUUAAGUUGUGAGGAAGGGCAGUAAGUUAAUACCUUGCUGUUUUGACGGUACCAACAGAAUAAGCACCGGCUAACUUCGUG